CCCUUAGAUGUUCUGGGCCCCACGCGCGUUACACUGAUGAAGCCAGCGAGUAUAUCGCCUUCACCGGAAGGUGCGGGUAAUCUUGUGAAACUUCAUCGUGCUGGGGAUAGACCAUUGCAAUUAUUGGUCUUGAACGAGGAAUUCCUAGUAAGCAUGAGUCAUCAACUCGUGCUGAUUACGUCCCUGCCCUUUGUACACACCGCCCGUCGCUACUACCGAUUGAAUGGUUUAGUGAGAUCUCGGGAUUGGAGACGUUGCGCCGCAAGGCACAUCGUCCUCGAGAACUUGAUCAAACUUGAUCAUUUAGAGGAAGUAAAAGUCGUAACA
rnacentral:rRNA from 1 species